UUGGACAACAAGUUUUAGAAAGGCCCACUCGUUUAAUGGUUAGGAUCACAAUGUGGGGUAAUUUGAAGAUAAUUCUCAUGUUUGAAAUGUCCAUGUGAUAUUUCGCAUUUUACUCUAGUGUUACAAACUUGAGAUUUAAAACUUUCUGAAAGAAAGUUGAUAAUUGAAUACUAUCUGUUUUAAAGGCUAUGUAUUGUUGAUUUUGUUCAGGCCAUGACUGUCCAAUAAGUUGAGGCACCUAUUGAUCUAAAGAAAGAGAUGGGAAGAUUAAUAUUUUAACAAAAGUUGCAAAUGGAUUAUUGCCACUACAAAAGCUUUAUCCAAGUAGAAUCUACCAAAAUCACUAGGAAAUUGAUUUGGGCUAGUGCAUUCAAAUGGCCUGUUUUCACCCAUGCAGAUGUCAAGCCUGAUAUGGUGGUGAAGGCAAAGGUGCUUUUUUCUUUCCUGCAUUCAUUGUUACUUCUAUUUUGCUGACAGUCUUCAAGCCACUCUUUGUUCUGUUUGUAAUGGUAUUAAUACUUGAUUUAUGCAUAGACUAUGUACCUAGCUCCAAUCAGGUGUAAGGAUGGGCUUUUUUCAUCAUUUGAGUUGAUGUUUUACAAUGGAAUUUGUUCACUCCCUUUCCUACUAAUCUUUAUAAUCUGUUCCACUUAAAUUGAGGUUGCUGCAUCAUUAGUUACUAGCAUUUGCAGGUUGUGGAUAUGGAUUUUUCAUUUUUACAGUGAUGCGUUGUAUUCGAAUCUGUUUGUUGGAAGUCAGAACCCACUCGAUGAAUCGUAGUUCGAAAGCUUGACCUGACUUAAGGAGUUGACUCAGUCAGGUUAUAUCUAGACUUAGAGAAAAUCACAUUUUAGUCACAAACCUUUUAAAAAAAGUUGUAGUAGUUACUUUAAUUG